rnacentral:tRNA from 1 species
CGGGACGUGGCGCAGCCCGGCUAGCGCACUUGCUUGGGGUGCAAGGGGUCGCGGGUUCAAAUCCCGCCGUCCCGACGA